rnacentral:rRNA from 1 species
GACGAACGCUGGCGGCGUGCCUAAUACAUGCAAGUAGAACGCUGAAGAGAGGAGCUUGCUCUUCUUGGAUGAGUUGCGAACGGGUGAGUAACGCGUAGGUAACCUGCCUUGUAGCGGGGGAUAACUAUUGGAAACGAUAGCUAAUACCGCAUAACAAUGGAUGACACAUGUCAUUUAUUUGAAAGGGGCAAUUGCUCCACUACAAGAUGGACCUGCGUUGUAUUAGCUAGUAGGUGAGGUAAUGGCUCACCUAGGCGACGAUACAUAGCCGACCUGAGAGGGUGAUCGGCCACACUGGGACUGAGACACGGCACAGACUCCUACAGGAGGGAGCAGUAGGGAUUCUUCGGCAAUGGGGGCAACCCUGACCGAGCAACGCCGCGUGAGUGAAGAAGGUUUUCGGAUCGUAAAGCUCUGUUGUAAGUCAAGAACGGGUGUGAGAGUGGAAAGUUCACACUGUGACGGUAGCUUAUCAGAAAGGGACGGCUAACUACGUG